CCUUCGAUAGCUCAGCUGGUAGAGCGGAGGACUGUAGAUCCUUAGGUCGCUGGUUCGAUUCCUGCUCGAAGGA
rnacentral:tRNA from 1 species